AGCAGCCGCGGUAGUUCCAGCUCCAAUAGCGUAUAUUAAAGUUGUUGCAGUUAAAAAGCUCGUAGUUGAAUUUCGGGGUUAGUAGGUUGGUCAUGCCUCUGGUAUGUACUGGUUUUACUGAUUCCUCCCUUUUGAAGAACUGUAAUGCCAUUAAUUUGGUGUUGCAGGGAAUCAGGACUGUUACUUUGAAAAAUUUAGAGUGUUUAAAGCAAGCUAACGCUUGAAUACAUUAGCAUGGAAUAAUGAAAUAGGACGUUCGAUCCUAUUUUUGUUGGUUUCUAGGAUUGACGUAAUGAUUAAUGGGAUAGUUGGGGGCAUUAGUAUUCAAUUGUCAGAGGUGAAAUUCUUGGAUUUAUUGAGACUAACUACUGCGAAAGCAUUUUGCCAAGGAUGUUUUC
rnacentral:rRNA from 1 species